rnacentral:piRNA from 1 species
UCUUUAUCUAUCUGGAAUUGGAUCUCUGC